rnacentral:rRNA from 1 species
GAUGAACGCUGGCGGCGUGCCUAAUACAUGCAAGUCGAGCGAACGGACGAGAAGCUUGCUUCUCUGAUGUUAGCGGCGGACGGGUGAGUAACACGUGGAUAACCUACCUAUAAGACUGGGAUAACUUCGGGAAACCGGAGCUAAUACCGGAUAAUAUUUUGAACCGCAUGGUUCAAAAGUGAAAGACGGUCUUGCUGUCACUUAUAGAUGGAUCCGCGCUGCAUUAGCUAGUUGGUAAGGUAACGGCUUACCAAGGCAACGAUGCAUAGCCGACCUGAGAGGGUGAUCGGCCACACUGGAACUGAGACACGGUCCAGACUCCUACGGGAGGCAGCAGUAGGGAAUCUUCCGCAAUGGGCGAAAGCCUGACGGAGCAACGCCGCGUGAGUGAUGAAGGUCUUCGGAUCGUAAAACUCUGUUAUUAGGGAAGAACAUAUGUGUAGGUAACUGUGCACAUCUUGACGGUACCUAAUCAGAAAGCCACGGCUAACUACGUGCCAGCAGCCGCGGUAAUACGUAGGUGGCAAGCGUUAUCCGGAAUUAUUGGGCGUAAAGCGCGCGUAGGCGGUUUUUUAAGUCUGAUGUGAAAGCCCACGGCUCAACCGUGGAGGGUCAUUGGAAACUGGAAAACUUGAGUGCAGAAGAGGAAAGUGGAAUUCCAUGUGUAGCGGUGAAAUGCGCAGAGAUAUGGAGGAACACCAGUGGCGAAGGCGACUUUCUGGUCUGUAACUGACGCUGAUGUGCGAAAGCGUGGGGAUCGAACAGGAUUAGAUACCCUGGUAGUCCACGCCGUAAACGAUGAGUGCUAAGUGUUAGGGGGUUUCCGCCCCUUAGUGCUGCAGCUAACGCAUUAAGCACUCCGCCUGGGGAGUACGACUGCAAGGUUGAAACUCAAAGGAAUUGACGGGGACCCGCACAAGCGGUGGAGCAUGUGGUUUAAUUCGAAGCAACGCGAAGAACCUUACCAAAUCUUGACAUCCUUUGACAACUCUAGAGAUAGAGCCUUCCCCUUCGGGGGACAAAGUGACAGGUGGUGCAUGGUUGUCGUCAGCUCGUGUCGUGAGAUGUUGGGUUAAGUCCCGCAACGAGCGCAACCCUUAAGCUUAGUUGCCAUCAUUAAGUUGGGCACUCUAAGUUGACUGCCGGUGGCAAACCGGAGGAAGGUGGGGAUGACGUCAAAUCAUCAUGCCCCUUAUGAUUUGGGCUACACACGUGCUACAAUGGACAAUACAAAGGGCAGCGAAACCGCGAGGUCAAGCAAAUCCCAUAAAGUUGUUCUCAGUUCGGAUUGUAGUCUGCAACUCGACUACAUGAAGCUGGAAUCGCUAGUAGUCGUAGAUCAGCAUGCUACGGUGAAUACGUUCCCGGGUCU